rnacentral:rRNA from 1 species
CUACGGGUGGCUGCAGUGAGGAAUUUUGCGCAAUGGGGGAAACCCUGACGCAGCAACGCCGCGUGAGUGAUGAAGGCCUUCGGGUCGUAAUACUCUGUCAAGUGGGAAGAACCUAUGUAAGGUUAAUACCCUUAUGUACUGACGGUACCACUGAAGGAAGCACCGGCUAACUCCGUGCCAGCAGCCGCGGUAAUACGGAGGGUGCAAGCGUUAUUCGGAAUUAUUGGGCGUAAAGGGCGCGCAGGCGGUUUUGUAAGUCAGAUGUGAAAGCCCGGGGCUUAACCUCGGAAGUGCAUUUGAUACUGCAAGACUUGAGUAUGGGAGGGGGAAGUGGAAUUCCUGGUGUAGAGGUGACAUUCGUAGAUAUCAGGAGGAACACCAGUGGCGAAGGCGACUUCCUGGACCAAUACUGACGCUGAGGCGCGAGGGCGUGGGGAGCAAACAGGAUUAGAUACCCCGGUAGUC